GUUUUUGUAGUUGAAUACAACGGUAGUUUUUCAGACUACGAGUCAAGGUUGAAAUCCUUGUAAGAAUA
rnacentral:tRNA from 1 species